AAAAGUUAACAAAAGUUAUCCAUGCUGGCGCAUAACUCUCCUAUAUAUCGAUAGAUUCCAGGGAUGCCACCCGGCUGACAGAUACAGCGUUAUUCAACACUUGAAUUAGAAACACAGUUGUGGGAGGAAUAAUUUUGAAAGCUCUCGAUCUACUUCUGUUAUGUUUAUAACUUAAACAUAACUUAUAAAAUCAAUAAAAUGUGUAGAGCUGUCUUAGAAAUCUCUUUUCUGUGGGUGCGUUAUCGAUAGAUUCCAAAAUUUAUUUUCUAACAAGUAAGCUGUGCAAACGAAGUCAUCAGCCGUAGCAAUUAAUUCUAAUUUGUUCAGUAGAGACCGUGAAUUCAAACUAAAAGUAUUCCUUAAGAUUUUCUUGUGCUUUUCUUCGAAAAAUUAUAAGAUGCUUCAAGAACUUGUGUUCAUCCUUGGUCCUUUAAUUGCCAUGUUGUCAUAUGUCGCUAAGAAUUCUUAUCCUUAUAUAUCAAAGUUGAACGAAUUUGAAUUUGUUUCGGAGGUUUUGGUCAUCGAAUCGGAGUUGCAAGACAUGAUGGAGUAUCUAAAAAAAUCAGGAGCUAAUGAGGAAACGCUAGACAUGGUACGAGUCCUUACUAGUAGUUUCCACACUGAUGUGUCUGAAGAUUCAAUGAAAUACUAUUGAUAAUUUGGGAAGAUUUCAUAAAAAAUGCAUUUUCACAGUUCCGGGGUUUUCCUCUUUUGGUGAAGAAUUUUGGCAAUAACAAUUAUUUAAAAAAUUAUCAACUAAACUGAUUACUUGUACCAGGAUCUUGGUAAAUGAAGAAUUAUGAAAAACGGAGACAUUAAUUUUGGAAGAACGGAACACUAUUGGAAUACAUAAAAAUAUUAAAUUAAAUAUUUCAAAUAAAUAUUCAAUAAAAGGCUGUUUGAAAGAAGAUAA